rnacentral:rRNA from 1 species
UACGGAGGAUGCGAGCGUUAUCCGGAUUUAUUGGGUUUAAAGGGUGCGCAGGCGGCGUGUCAAGCAAGCGGUAAAAUAGCGGGGCUCAACCCCGUCGAGCCGUUUGAACUGGUGCGCUUGAGUUCAGGCGAGGUAGGCGGAAUGCGUGGUGUAGCGGUGAAAUGCAUAGAUAUCACGCAGAACUCCGAUUGCGAAGGCAGCAUACCGGCGCCCUACUGACGCUGAGGCACGAAAGCGUGGGUAUCGAACAGG